CAGGUCUUGACAUCCCGCUGACCGGUAUAGAGAUAUAUCUUUCCCUUCGGGGACAGCGGUGACAGGUGGUGCAUGGUUGUCGUCAGCUCGUGUCGUGAGAUGUUGGGUUAAGUCCCGCAACGAGCGCAACCCUUGAUCUUAGUUGCCAGCAUUUAGUUGGGCACUCUAAGGUGACUGCCGGUGACAAACCGGAGGAAGGUGGGGAUGACGUCAAAUCAUCAUGCCCCUUAUGACCUGGGCUACACACGUGCUACAAUGGAUGGUACAAAGGGCUGCAAGACCGCGAGGUUUAGCCAAUCCCAUAAAACCAUUCUCAGUUCGGAUUGCAGGCUGCAACUCGCCUGCAUGAAGCUGGAAUCGCUAGUAAUCGCGGAUCAGCAUGCCGCGGUGAAUACGUUCCC
rnacentral:rRNA from 1 species